CAUAAUGAAUAAGCUGUGGUAACGCUGCGUAGUUCUGACUCUCCCAUUCUGUAAGACUAAACCUGUAACCCCCUCCUGCGGGUUUCAGAUUCCAGGGGGUGGGAACCGGUGUAAUUCAAGGAACCCCCAAAUCCAUUUUCAGGUGUGCGCUCUUUCAAAUAAGAGAUGGAAAGGAGUCCAGCUGCUGUCAUCGGGGUGGUCCUCGCAACUUUUUGUGACCUUCCUUCUCGUAGUGAAUGUGGACAGGUGCCGCAAGCUCCAGGGCGAACGUCCUGGCAGGCUCAGACGGUGUCACACGUUAGCGGUCAGGGAGGAAGCAGGCGUCCUCUCUGCUUCUGAUGAGCAGUUUGGUCCCAGGGUGUAGCCAAAGCACCUGAAGCCUGAGAUUCACAUUAUGCUUUGACGUUGAUUAUUUUUUCAUCAUGAUAUUGUUCUGAAUUGUAUAAUUUUACUGAAACUUUAAACCUCAAGAGAAUUGUCAGAUUUUACCCUUACAUUGUUCUUUUAGCGUGUGCUGUUUCAGCCCAUUAAGUAAGGUAUUGGAAAAUCCAGAGCAUUUGUAUUUUCUUCGCCUUCCUCUCUUACCAUCUUUGGUGCUACACGCAGCUUAUAGAUUACAUAAGAUUUGAAAGCAGUGAAAUUGGAUGGUUGUCACGUAUUUGUUUUUGUUUUGUUUUGAAGCCAGCGUUUUAUAACAA